UCCGGUAGGUGAACCUGCGGAAGGAUCAUUA
rnacentral:rRNA from 1 species